GACAGAGGGGGCAAGCGUUGCUCGGAAUCACUGGGCGUAAAGGGCGCGUAGGCGGGAUGCAAGUCGGUCGUGAAAUCCUUCGGCUCAACCGAAGAACGUCGGCCGAUACUGCCGUUCUUGAGGGAUGCAGAGGAGAUUGGAAUUCCCGGUGUAGCGGUGAAAUGUGUAGAGAUCGGGAGGAACACCGGUGGCGAAGGCGGGUCUCUGGGCAUCUCCUGACGCUGAGGCGCGAAAGCAUGGGGAGCGAACAGG
rnacentral:rRNA from 1 species